GCGGGUGUGGCGGAAUGGUAGACGCCGGGGACUUAAAAUCCCCUGAUCUUUGAUCGUGCUGGUUCGAGUCCAGUCACCCGCACCA
rnacentral:tRNA from 5 species